UUCGUUUGAGGUAUGGUGUGAGCUACAUAGAAUUUACCUUCUCAAGACAUUAAUUAAUGAAAAUACAAUGAAUAUAUUAUUGUUGUUGAGUAAAAGUUCACUCGGUAUUAUGUUGUUGGUUCUUCUGAGUUUGUCAUUUUUAGUCUCCAUCAAGUGUUUAUUGAACCCAAUUUGCUAGUUUUGAUGAAAAUUAUGAGAAAAAAAUAAUAACUCGAUGGAAUUCAAGAAGUGGGUCAAGGAGAGUAGAAUGUAUCACUGUACUCUAAUUUUAUAGCUACCUCGUAGCAGUAGUUUUUGAUAACCCCCAAUUUAAAAUAAAAGAUAGAUAGAUAGAUAGAUAAGAAAAGAAACAACAGAACUAUAAGUCGUAAUAAUAAGAAAAUAAUAUAAAAUAAAUAGGAAAGAAUAAUAAUAUUAAUAAAAUAAUAUGAUAAUGAAAACACGCAUACACAUAGAUCAAGCACAGAUGAUAAUCGAAAUCGAAUACCAAGUAUGAGAAAAAAGAAAAUUAACCCAACUCUAGACAUAUAAAUCUGUAGUAUGUACUGAUUUUAAUUUAUUUCUAAAGCCUAGUACAAAUCUUUAAAGUGUAAAUAUCUCGCAUUUCUUUUAAUACCUUUCUUAAAUCUUUAUUUGGUCGAAUUUUUGGUAAGUCGUAACAAUAAGAAAAUAAUGUAAAAUAAAUAGGAAAGAAUAAUAAUAUUAAUAAAAUAAUAUGAUGAUGAAAACACGCAUACACAUAGAUCAAGCACAUAUGAUAAUCGAAAUCGAAUACCAAGUAUGAGAAAAAGGAAAAUUAACCCAACUCUAGACAUAUAAAUCUGUAGUAUGUACUGAUUUUAAUUUAUUUCUAAAACCUAGUACAAAUCUUUAAAGUGUAAAUAUCUCGCAUUUCUUUUAAUACCUUUCUUAAAUCUUUAUUUGGUCGAAUUUUCGGUUUAUGUAUAAGUUAUAAUUAAAAAUAAUUUCAAUAUAACUAAUUUUACUAUUAAUAAAUUCAGUAUUAUUAAGACGGUCUAGACUCUAUUCAGUAUUAACUAUUAAUAGUAUUAUUUUCAGGGGUAAUUUGGUAGAGUGUAUUAAAAAAAUAAUGCAUGCAUUAAUCUUAUGUAUUAUUAAUAUUUUGUUUGGUAUAUUUUUUAGUCUAUGUAUAACUAAUGUAUUGCUUUAAUUAUAUCAGUGUGUAUUGAGGUGUGUAUUACUAAUACCUCAAAAUUCAUGAUAUCAGUAAUGUAAUUUAUCUAACGCAUGCAUUCGCGUGAUUAAAGAUAUAAUUAUUCCUUAAAUUUUUUUUGCAUCCUUUUCAACAUAUAUAUGAAGGUUAUUUUUGUAACAAAAAUAAAUAAAAAUGAAUAGAAAAGAAUAAUAAUGUUAAUAAAAUAAUAUGAUAAUGAAAGCACACACAUAAAUCAAGCACAGGUAAUAAUCGAAAUUGAAUACCAAGUAUGAGAAAAAGGGAAAUUAGCCAAACCUCCUAUUUAGAGGUAUAAUUUUGUGGUAUGUGCUAAUUUUAAUUUAUUUCUAAAGCAUAUUCGGUAUUAGUAGUAUUAUUCUUAGGGAUCGUUUGGUAGCGUAUAUUAAAAAGAUUAAUACAUGCAUUAGUCUUGUACAUUAUUAGUACUUUAUUUUGUUACAUUUUUUAGUUUAUGUAUAAUUAAUGCAUGCAUUAGUUAUAUUCUUUAUUGUGUAUUGAGGUGUGUAUUACAAAUACCUUAAAAUUCAUGGUACUAGUAAUGCAAUUGACCUAACGCAUGCAUUAACAUGAUUAAAAACACAAUUAUACCUGAAAUUUCUGCAUCCUUUCCAACAUAUAUAUGAAGGACAUUUUUAUAUAUAUAAAAAUAUUUUAAAAAUUAUGUAAUUCAUGUGAUUUUUAAUACAUCAAAUUAAACAGUGUAUAAAUAAAAUAUAAGUAUAAUUAAUAUAACUAUUAUUAAUAUAGAUUUUAUUAAUAUAUUAUAAUUUGUAUUGUUUUUAUACGCUCUACCAAACGACUGAUAUGGAGUCCAUGAAAGAUACCUUAGUUGUCUAGUGUAAUUAUUUUCUCAAACAUAAGGGAUCAUUUUUGUCAUGUUUUCAUAGGACAGCUAAACUUUUGCUUUUUGUCUUUUAUUGACCCACAAAAAAGGGACUAAACAGGAAUUUCCUCAAAAUUGAGUGGAGGAUUUUGUAAAUACAUAGUUUUCAUGGUACUGGAAAAGACAAAUAGUGAAAAUGACCCAACCACUACCACUUGAAAAAGUAACAUGGAUUUUCAUGCUGUCUACUCAAUUUCAAAGCUUGUCUCCAAUCCCCCACUAGGAAUUAGUCAUAAAAACAAAUUUUAUGCUUACUAUAUAAUUUUAGUGAAAUUGUAUAUAUAAAUUUAUGAUUCUAAGUUAAAAGUAUUAGAUUUAGAUGAAUCUGUAUUUUAUUAUAUUAUGUUUUUACCUAAUUCAGUUCUUACCAAAACUUUUCAUAUUCAUAAUUUGAACACAAAAUUUCUAACUUAAUAUAAAAGGAUUUUAUUCAUUUUAUCGUAAAUGUUGAUGAUUUAACUAUUCAAUUUUAUAUAACCUAUUAUUACACGAAUAAUUAAAAAAUGUUUUUGUUUUUAUUUUUUGAGAAUCUUCGAGGAAAAUUUGCAUGAGUUAUUCUUCGGGUGUUUAUUGAGUAAAUUUAUUUAUGUGUAAUAGUUUACAAAUUACACAAAAGAUUAGAUUAACUACAUUACGAAGACAUUAACAGGAAAAGUUAAUCUUUAAUCUUCCUCAUAAAAUAUCGCAUAUUGUAUCGACUCAACCAUCAAAUUUUUUGUUUUGAUUAUUACACUAUUUUGAAUGUUUUCUAAAUCGCUUUUAAGUAUAGAAUUGACAUUACUUUUUGUAGUUUGUAAUAAUUAUGUGCAUUAUAUUCCAAAAAAUAAAAACCAUUAAAUAAUCAAUGCAAGACAGAGAUUUUCUCAAUAAUUAUGUGCAUUAUAUUCCAAAAAAGAAAAACCAUUAAAUAAUCAAUGCAAGACAAAGAUUUUCUCAUUUGAUCAGUUGCACUUAGGGGUGGUUUGAUAGAGUGUAUAAAAAUAAUGUAAAAUAUGGUGUAUUAGUAAUGCUUGUAUUAAUAAUGCUUGUGUUAGUUAUACUUGUAUUUUUUCUUAUGCAGUGUUUGGUUCGAUGUAUUAAAAAAAAUAUGAAUUACAUAAUUUUUUUUAAUUUUUUUUUUUACAUAAUACCCUCAAUAUAUAUGUUGGAAAGGAUGCGGAAAUUUUUUUGAGGGGUAAUAGGGUCUUUAAGCAUGUUAAUGCACGAAUUAGAUCCAUUGCAUUACUAAUGCCAUGGAUUUUGAGGUAUUAGUAAUACACACCUCAAUACACAAUAGAGUGUAUAAUUAAUGCUUGCAUUAGUUAUACAUAGGGUAAAAAAGUAUAACAAAUAAGGUACUACUAAUACACAUUAAACUAAUGCAUGCAUUAACAUUCCAAUACACUCUACCAAACGACCCCUUAGCACCUUUAUCCAUCGAGAAAACAGUUCUCUUGAGCGUGUAAUUGUAUUUUUUUUAAUCCAAAUCAUAUAAUUUUUCGAUAAAGUGAGUUCAGUUUAUCAAUAUUCUUUGGUCUAUGUAGCUUUGUCACUGCCUAGUUUCACGUACCAACAUAUUAAAAGAAUAAUGUAAAUCGAUGCUACACCUUAAACUAGGACUAUGUAUAAAAAUGAAUCCAAAUCGAUGUAACACCUUAAACUAGGAAUAUGUAAUUAUCAUUAUAUACUCUCUAAUCAUAUGGUUUACAUUUUUGUAUUUCGUUAAAUGUGAGGUUCUACAUGUGAUAUCAUAUGAGUAGUGCGUGUGUUCGAAUAUGUUCUCACACGGUUGGAAGGGGCACCCGUCGAGUUAGAUAGAACAAAAUAGGUCUAAUUAGAGUAUGAUUAAAUUUAAUUUGCACAUUAUAAGACUCAUCUUUUGGGACGACGCCCUCAACAUAAUUUUUUUCAUUUUAAAGUAUUUGAAUAAGAAAACUCAGACUAAGAAUGGAGAUAUCCUAAAUCAUGUACCCGACCACAAUUUUUCAUUUUUGAUGUUAUACAUGUGUCCUAUGGUUGCUCAACUAACUAUUUUUACUUUUUACAGUAUUUUUGGACUUUUCACCAAAUUUUGAUAAUUUUAAUAGUUAAUUGAAAUCAGAUUAAAGUUGAAUUCACGCGAAAAAUGUACUUAACAAACAAAUACUUACUCUUACAUUUUACUUGUGACUCGAAUAUCACAAAUAUAAAUUAAAGUGUCUUUCCAUAUUAAAUGCAUUUCUUUUGCUUAAAUGUAACUUUUUCAUAGAGAUCACAUGGAAAGAACAAUAAUAUUGGUCCAGUGUACAGAAAACUCCUUUUGUUGUUCUCUUUGAGUUGUUGCAAUGCCUGCUCUUAACUAACUUUACAGUCUGCCACAAAUGGUAUAUUUGCUGACAAUGUAUAUGAUUUCAGUAUGUACUAUUUUAUUUUACCUUAAUUAGUAACUACAUUUUCCAAAACAUAACCUUAAUUAGUAAACACAUUUUUCAAAAAAAAAAAUUGUCUUUUUUCAAGUGGAUGUUCAGUUGAUUUUGAAGUUGGUUUAGCCAUAAAUCUCCAUUAGUGUAAUAACUGUCCAAAUCAUUUGCAACACUGUAUUCUUAUUUGAGUAACCAUUAGACUUCUACUUCAAGAUUGAACCUAAACCAAUUUAAUUUUUCUCCAUUUUACUCAAUUAUAUUGGCCAUAGCCCAUAGGUAUCGAGGUACCCUCAGCUCAAGUAAUAUAAGUUGUGAUAUUUGUGGUAGCAAGGUUGGAACUUAGAAUGUUGUUGGUCGAAGUUGUUCCCUAAUCCCCCGAUCACCUUUGACUUCAUAUCACAAAAGAUCAGUCAUGAAAGAGACAUCACGAUUAUCCUUUCUCAUAAUAUAUCGGCUUUGUUAGAUAAUUUUGAUCACUAUGGGUGUGUUUGGUAUGAUGGAAAAUGUUUUCCUAUUUUCUUUUGUUUGGUUGUAGUAAAAUAUUGGAAAAAUGUUUUUCAAAAUAACUCAUUCUCCUCUAUUUGAGGGAAAAUGACAAAUGUGACUUAAUUAUGUCCCCACCCCAACAACACUUAAAUUCACAUUACUCAAAAAAAUUACAUUACUCAAAAAUAUUUUUUACUGUACUUUGCUUUAAUUUUUCACUGCUUAAAAUAAAAAAUAGUGAAGCUCGAAUUUUUCCCUUUUUUAAUGUUCGUUGAAUGUACUGUUAUUUCCAUAUGCAUAAAGGAAGACUUACCUAUGUUACUUUUUCUAACUGCAUAUUUAAUUUUGUCAUCGAUGUAGCUUAUUUCACAAGGUUGAAUAAGCUUGUCGUUCCGUUGUAUUUCUAUUGAUUGUAGUAUCUUGAGAUUGUCCUGACAAAAUGUUGAAAAAUGUCUCCUAUAUUUGCUAAUUAGUUAUUGCUUAAAUUUUAGUGACUUGUAAUAUUUUAGUACUCGAUAUUGAUAUUAUUUGCUAUGCAUAAAUUAGUUCUUACAAAUUGUUAAGUUGUUAGAGGCAGUGAUAUACUAGUUAACAGUUAGUACUAUUUUCUAAAAAAAAAAAUUUUCACUCACCAACCAAACACCAUAAAAAAAAUUUCGAAAAAUAUUUUCCACUCACCAACCAAACAUGAGAAAAUAAGUAGAAAAUCAACUUAUUUUCGAGGAAAAUAUUUUCCAUUCCAUCAUACCAAACACACCCAAUAAUUUUGAUCACUAUAAGCUUGUUUAAGAUUGCAAACUCGAUCGAUAUAAUUAUCUGAAUUAGGUUUCUUUCAAUAAGCCAAAAAAGUUUAUACUCUAUAAGCAGGCUCUAAAGGGGAAAAAAGGGUAUGAAAAUGGGUGUUAGCUCGCUCUUUUUGACAGAUAUGUCCACCUUUCCAAUUUGGAUUUGCAAAAGAAGAAUCUUACUUAUCUUAUUAUUUUUUUUAAACUUUAUUCUUCUAUAUAUAUGUCAUCACUUUUUUCCCUUUUCACUUUCCUUGAAAUAUAUAAAUGUUUUACAUUUUGUUUUACUAGGGAUAAUUGGUUGGUAUGAUUUGGUCAAGCGUGUACUAAAAGAUGUUCUUAAAUUAUGUAAUGACAAAGUUUAAUGGGGCUUAAUCUUUUAUUUCUUCUCGUAGUGGAGACCAUUUUCUUCUUGACCCUUCAAGAUUCAAAUUGCAUAUAAAAUUCUCUUAUGAUUGAUGGUUGAGAUUGAAUGAUCACGAUGGAUAAUUUAUAACUUUGAAAAGAAUGGGAAACCGAAAUGAUUAAAAAAGUAACAAUUAUAUAACAGAAAUAGAUUGAAAACUACAACAACAUGUCCAACAUAAUCUAAGAAGACGUGAACAGAGAAUUUAGUCCUAUUUUGUGAAGAUUGAAAAAUUAUUUUUCUUAGGACCGGUUUGGAAAACUAUCCUUGAAAUUAAAUUUGAUGUAAUUGGGUGUAAUUAUAUUUGGCAUGUCUGGUUAACCAAGUAAUUACUUGAUCAACAGGUAAUUGAGUGUAAUUAGAGGUAAGUACCCUCUCGAAUCCAGGUAAUUACACAUCUUUAAUGGCAUUGGUGGGUGAUCAAUCCGCACCUAAAUGAAAUGAUUUUCGCAUGCUAAUCAAUUGAUUACUCGUGCUAAAUUAUUUGAUUAGCAUGAUAUCAGCCAUUAAAAAUGGAAACUUUUCACCUAUAAAUGGGGUUCCUUUGAUAUUGUAAGUCUAUAUAUUUGUUGUGCAAAAUACUUAAUUGUUUGAAACUUGGGAAAUCUAAUCAGAACGUUGGAGAACAAAAGCUCCUUAAUGUGAAAAAUAAAGGAUGGAAUUAAUCAAGUAAAGGGGAAUAAAGUGAAUAAAAAUUCCCAAUUGUAUUAAGGAUUAAGAAAAAUUAGAAGUCCAAACAAAGAAGGAAUAAGUUGUAUAUAACUACGUACUGAUACCUACUAGUGUCUAAUAUUUUUGUUCUGCAUUUAAGAAAUUUAAAUUUUUAGGUUUCAUUUGAAGAUUUUCAAAUUUUUAGAAAUUUGAAGAUUUCAUUAAAAAAAAAAUUUCUUUUACAAUUUUAGCUUUAUAUAUAUAUGUAUAUAUAUUUCCUCUGGUUAUAAGAUGUUUCAGUUCACCAGGUUGUCUCUUGCCUGCCCAUGGAUUUAGCAGCAGUUCGAAAGGUUGCCCUAUUUGGAAAUCUUCGAAUCUAUGCUUAUUUUCAACUCCCCGAAACAUUUCGUCGAUUACUACGCCCUUCCUUGUCUCUGGUGCCUAGCUCCACUAUAAGUCUUUCCUCGUUUGAACCUCGCCAUUCACUUUUAAGACUAUGUCAUCCUAAGAUGUUGCUAAAUGGAUGGACCUCAUCAACGUCCAUCAAUGAUAAAUCAUAGAUUGAACUGAAAAUAUAAUAAUACAAUGCAUCUUUUUUUCUUAUAUUUUCUUUUCAAAAUACAAAAAUACCCUUGCUUGGAUUGGAGGUAAGUUCACCAACUGUCUUGGAUUGGCCAGUAAUCUAACUAUUUGUUCAAACGUACAAAACAAACUAAAAUAUAAAAUAUACUGAAAUAAUAAAAGUUGCUUAACUAAAAAAUACUUAUUAAUAACCAUUAUCUAUGUUUUGGCCUUUUAUGUUUGUAUCUUUUCGGAUCAAUGAAAAAGCUUAUGCUCUAGCAUGCAAUAACGAGGAAAUGACAAAAAUGGUGCUGUAUUUAUAUGGGUGGAUAGGUUUAAAAUAAUUAAAAAUUAUACAAAUACACAACUUAUAUUAUCAAUAUUAUAAAAAAUUUCAACUCCCUAAACAUAUUACAAAAAUUCCAACAUAUACAUAGAAUGCUAUGUAUAUGUCGGCUAUAUUAUGUAUAUUAAUAGGGAGAGAGAGUAAAGUAAUUAAAAAAUAGGAGAGAGUGUAAUUACUUUCAAAAGGAUUGGUAUUUAUGUUGUUUAUACAAAUAUUUUCUUAUUUUAUGUACUAAUUAAUACCUUUUUUCUUUAAGUUUUGACCAAAGCUAGCACUUUUAAUCUCCUCUAGAUAUUUGACAAUUUAAAUUUGUUAGAUUUCACCGAAACAAUGAGAAAAAAAAGUAUCAUAAAUAUCAAAACAGUCUCAUUAAAUUCUAAAAUAUGUAAGACAGAGAAUUAUACAAGACACUAAAAAACAUAGCUUUUGAAAAGUACUAAUUGUUUGGAUUAUGUGUUUGAGAUUUGAGAAAUUUGCUUUUGAAAAUAAAAGGUUUUGUGGAUAAUAGGUUGAUUUAUGUAUUUAUGGUUUUGAAAAGUACUUAAUUCCUUCCAUUCAUAAUAAAUGUUCUUUCAAUUUUUUCUUUUUGGUCCAAAACAAGUGUCAUUUUUCAUAAUAAAGAAAAUAUCAAUUGUUUUUUUUUUAAUUUACCCCAAUUUAAAUAAGUGAGUUUUAUUUUUUAUUUUGCAUCGAGAAACUAUAUUAAUUAGCAAGGAAUCGCUUAAUUAAGGAUAGAUUAGUUAGACUACAUAGUUUUUUAAUAAUUAAUAUUUUCUCAAGGAAUUUGCCAAAAAUUAUAGAAACGCUUAUUAUGAAUCAAAAGAAGUAUAUAUAAUAAAAAGAAAUUAGAUAACAUAUUUUAAAUACCUUUUACCCUACAGUAUGUGCUCUAUGCACUCAGGGUACCUUCAUUAUCAAGCAACUUAUGGAAGUAUCUAGAUUUUUAUUAUUUUAGUGUUUCCCAAUUGUUAAUUUUCUGAUUAUUUUUUUUGAAAAAUAAUAAAUAGGGUGAGGGGUCCAAAAUUUUAAAUUAAAUAAGGGUUUUGACUUAGAUAUUUUUAGAAGUCAUAUUCUCUUAGCUCAACAGAAAGCAACGUUGAAAAUAAUGUAUUAAUAAAUUUGACAAGUUGAAUUAAAUACUUAAUUUGUUUUCAUUUAAUAAAGAAUAAUAAAAGAUUCUAUUGCCGGUAUAUUUGCAGUUGGCAACCAUACAUUUUUGAUUCUUUUGGGUUUACCUAUUUCUCUACAAAUGAUUUUUCGUACCAAAAUAGAUUGGUUUGUUAAUAAAAUUAUAUAUGACCAAUAAGAGGGCUAAUUUCACUAAUAUUUAAUUAGCUAAUAUAGAUAAGUUAUUUGGUGUUACAUGAUAUCCAAUAAGUUGUCUAAUCAAAUGCAAGAGUCAACUCAAAUAAUAAUCAUUUGAAAUGAUCCUUUUUAUCGACGAAUGCGAUAAAAUAAGUCGCCUUCCUCUGAAUAAUAAUAGUUCGUCUUCUGCUACUUUAUUUUAAACACUAUCUAUAAGAUGAAAUUAGUUUUUAUAUUCUAUUAGUAGAUGUAACCCUUAGAACCUAUCUAAGGGUGUUUGCUACGUUCUUUGAUUUCGUUCUCUCGUUCAUGUCCAUAUUAGGUUGGGCUUUUCUCCGUAUAUAAGGUCCUUCUAUCGGGCAUAAACAUCGUUUUAAUUUAUUCGGCUCUGUCUUAGUGUAUCUCGAUUAGGAUUGCUCUCAUAUCUACGCCAUCGUGAUCGACUUUUUUAAUUAAUUAUGUAUUGGUUAAAAAACAAGAUGAAAUUUUGAAAUAUUUCAAAAGUAUUCAGUUGACCAAACACUAUUUUUUUAUUUAAGAACUCACAAAAUUGCUGGUGAAUGACUCAUCAGUCAAUUAUCUAUAAGAAAAUUAAUUGAAUUGCAUCAUCUAUAUAUGGGGGUUGAGCUGCUUUUGUACAUGAUUUAAGCUAAAGACCUAAUUUGGUCAACCAAUUAAAUGUUGACUUGACCCUCCAUGACUACUGGAUCUUUCCAGAAUUUGUACACAUAUUUUUUCUUCAUAAUUAGGUCGAAUUUUACUUAUGAUAUAUACCUUCAAUGAGUGAAGUUUGAUUUCGACUUGACAGUUUCAACUCAUGGUACCUCCGUCCAAUUUACUCCUUUUCAAUUCAAAAUUAACUCAAAAUAUUUUUUUUUAAAAAAAAAAAUUGGGAUUUACAAUAUAUUAAGUCAUGAAAUCUUUGUUAAUCACAUCGAACAAAGCCUUUGAAGCAGAAGAAGAUGAAGAAUGAGUGAAGAAAAAGCAAUUUAUUCGAAGUUCACCUAGAUUGGAUACAAACUUUGUAAGAAAAAUUGAAUACAAGUUAAAUAAAGACAGUCAAAUAGGACAAAGAAAUUUUCAUGCUAGUGACUAAACAAAAUUCAUGGAUUUCUUGAUGAGCUCAUUCUAGCCAGUCUAACUACAGCUCAUAAUCGAAAUAUCAAAACAAAAAACAAUUGUAAUGACAUGUUUACUAAUUAAUAGACCACAGUUCAACAAAAUUUAUACAACAAAAUAGAGUAUAACUAUACAUUUUAUUCUUUUUAACUAAUUUAAGCCAGUACAAGUGUAUAAUCAAUGUAUAACCGCACGCUAAUCAUACAUAUAUUGUGCACUUGUUAUACACUAAAGAUGGUGAUUGUAAACUAGGAGCAAUAACAUAAACAUACAGCUUAAAUUACCAUUUUUAUACAAAAUUCCAUCCUUACUAAGUAAUUGCAAAAAUUCCAACUAAUUAUGUAUUUUCAUUGGGUGUAUCGGGAGCUAAUUAUGCAUAAAUAAAAAUGUAUAGGGUGCUAAUUAUGUAUCUUUACAAAGGAAAAAAUGUAUCUUCAUUGGAUGUAUCGAAGGAUAAUAAUGUAUCUCGACAGACUCAAAAUUGAGAGUUUCAAUAAAUAUGCAAAAUGUCGAAAAUUUCUGUAAUUAAACUCCAAACAGUUAGAAUAUAUGUUGUUUUCCCUAUAAAUUAUUACGGCUAGACAGGUGGAAAUGUAUAUUUAGCCGACUAGCUAAAAAUGCUGGAAAAAAUACAUAAAGUAGUAUACUUAAAUAUUAAAUUAUAAAAAAUAACAACACUUUUAUCAAAUUACAUUUUGUAGCACAUGUAUUUGUAUUUUUGUAGGAACAGUUUGCAAAAAUACAAAAUACAUAUCGAUCAUAAGGGCAGUAAAAAUCAUAUGUAUUUGUAUUUUUGUAGCAACAUUUGCAAAAUACAAAAUUCAACUUGCUAUAUUAUGUAAUUAUGAAACUAUUGCUAUGAAAUUCACAAUUAAGGGAAUAAGUAUGCUAUUUUUGAAUUUUGCCCAUAAAUGUUUAGAUCCGAAAUGAAUAUCUAUCGGAUCGAUGGCAUGAUGGACCUAAACAAUAUCACAGCUGCAUCUUUGCAGGGCCCAGCCCAUGUAUGGAUGUGUAUGGGCUGCUUAUUUACGCCCAUUUAAGACGUAAGGCUUUCAUGCGUAACUAAAUGGGCUUAGGAUAUUUUUGAUUUUUUUAGUUUUUAAAUAUUUUUUUAGAUAUUCUUGAAUUUGAGCUGUUUGGUAAUUUAAAUUCAAAUCUAGCCUUGUUUUACUAUGAAUAUAAAGCCCCCUAUUGUUGUUGAUAGAGGCUCACCGCCCCAACCACCCUUUAUAGUAGCAAUUGUUGUCAUGCUUGAAUUUGUAUUAAAAUCUCUAGAGUUAAAACUCUUUUUUUCUUUUUUGUUAUGACUAGGCCUAGAUCCGAAUUGGCAAAGCAGCCCAAUACCAUAUUGAGUGGCUGCGUUUGGAAUUUGGGUUGAUAAAUAGCAUAAAGAGGGGGGGGUUGCAAAGUGUGAAAACUGCAUACGCAAAGGCUAUACUUCUCAUUCUCAAUUCUCUCUAGUCCUUCUCCUUUUCAUAUUAAUCACAAAGUUUAUUAGUUUCAUUCACUCUGUAUAUUAAUCAAAAUUUAUUUGUUUCGUUCACUCUGUAUAUUAAUCAAAGUUUAUUUGUUUCGUUCACUCUGUACAUUGAUUGUUGAUGUAAGUAACCAAAGUAACCGGUCUUCGAAUGGCAGUGGGGCGGAUUAGAGUGGCAGAGAUAGAUGUUGCCGGAUGGAAAUGAGACAAUCAACGUGAAAAUAAGUGUAGUAAAUUUAUUAUAAGUUUAAAAAUUAAUAUGAAUAUAUUGACGAGGAAUUCUAUUUUUCAUUUUAACAAUGUUUAUUAUAAUUGAGUCAAAAUAACUUCUUUUUAGCUUUCACUCUUUACGCUUAACUAAAGAUAAAGAUAGCAACUUAUCAAAUGAUUUUAGGUUUUAAAUAUAUCCUUUGCUACUCCGACUUUAUAUAUUACUACUAUUUUUACUAAUUUCUAUCAAAUCGUAUUCAAACGUCUCCUUAUAACUAAACCAAUAAUUAAGUCUCUAGCUUGGCAUUCAAACUUACAUUCGAGAGGAAGCUCUUCCCUUUAAAUAAGUUUUACAUGCCUAAAAAUUGUAUUAACCAAUUCAGUAGAUUUCAAAUGUACGUGGGUUAAUAUAACCAAAAAAAAUAAAAUUAAAAAAAAAAUGAUAGCUUUAGCAUUUCUAAACUAAAAAUAAAGAACAAUUUAUGAUGGAUAGUGCUAAAUGACCAUAAAAAUUUGGUCCAAAUUUGGCCACAAUAAUAAAAAGAUUAUAUGAUCUUUUUUCUUUCAAAUAGAUAAAGCUAUUUAAUUUUUAAAGUAAAAGGAUAAAAAUAUCUAAAAGUUAACUAGUUCAUAAUUUGAAUAUAACUUUUUUUUUUUUUAUUGCGGUCAAAUUGUGACAAAAUAAAAUUUCGAGAACAUAAUUCACGUGUACGCACGUGGAAUUAGUGGCGUGCUGGUAAAGCCAGUACUUUAAUCCCCUCCAACACACAAAAAGAACACUAAAUUUAAGAGUUAAUGGUAAAAAAGUAGCGGAUCAAGCAUUUAAGGGUUGUGGAUAUUUAAAAUGCAUGAUCAUGUGUAUCGAUGUUUCAUGCUUUAAUUUUUUGAUUGAAAUUAAAGUAGUAACCAUCUUCUUAAUUUACUGGAUAUAAAUCUAUGUCUUAUACAAAUUUUUAUACAUAUUUUAUAUUAAUUAUACCUAGUUUAAUAGGUGUCAAAAAAAGUCAUAGGUCCGCCCUGAUAAAAAAUAUACCUAAACUAACUUCUUUUAUUGUGUUUCAUAUUCAAAUUAUUAAGUGUUUGUGUUUUGUACUUGAAAUAUUACAAAACACUUAAGCCCUGUUUGACCAUGAAAAUCAUAAUUUUUUGGAGUUGGAGUUGAAAUUGAAGUUGGAGUUGGAGUUGUGUUUGACCAUGAAUAUAAACUAAAGUUGUUUUUGAAAUUUUGUGAGCGAAAUAUGAGUGAAAACAAGUAAAAUUUGUUUUCACUUUUUCAAAUACAAUUUCGAAAUUGUAUUUAAAAUUUUAAUGGUCAAACGCAUCUUGUUUUCAUUUUUUUCACUAAAGUAAAAUAAUUUUUCAAAAAAAAAAAGAAAUAAUUUUGAUGGCCUAACGGCUACCUAAUGAAAUACACUUGAACUAUCAAUUGUUUGAAUUUCAUACAUUAAAUUUUAGGUGUAUUUCACUAGCAACGUGUGUUUAACUAAAUAUUUUAUGAUAUUUCAAAUUGGAAACCCAAACACUUAAUAAUUAUUUAAAUAUGAAUUUUAAAAAAAAUACUUUAGAUGUAUUUUUGAUACUUCACUAAAAAACUACAAAUAUUUGAAGGACACAGAGAGAAAAAAAAAUACUAAAAUUAUUUUAGUGUAAUUUAUGUAUCACAAAUUUAACCAGAAAAAUAAUCAUUAAUUUUUUGUGUUAAUUCCCAAAAUCUAUACGAACGAAACAUGUUUUGUCAAUCGAUUUUUUAUUUUUUUAAAUGACAGUUUAGUACGUAAAAUCUUUCGUUUAGGGUGAAAUUUGGAAAAAGAUCGAGUCACCAAAAUAUAUUAUUAUGUGUAAUCUUAUUUUGUAUUUUUAUUAUUAGUUAUUUCAAUGACUUGAACUUAUGAAUUUCUAAUAACAUGAUAACAACAUUAUCAAUUACUCAGAAGAAAAAAAGCAUAAGAAGUUUAAUGGGACCACAUUAGCAGACUUAAACUUAUAUAUUGACGUAUUUGGUUAUACAGAGACAUGUGAGCCAGCUUUUCCAUAAAUACAGCAUACUUCCUUCGUUUCAUAAUAAUUGAAUUAUUGGAGUAUUUUUUGUGUUUCAAAAUAAAUAAAUCAUUGAAUUUUUUUUUCAAAUUUACACUUGAGGAUUUAACAACUAAGGGGCCCAUCAACUGAAAAGGAAUAAAAUAGAUAUGAUUCUGUACUUUGAACAAGGGUAAAAAUGAAAAGCUGUACUAAAUUUAUGUUUUUAAUAAUUUUUUCUUAAUUUGUGUGUCAAAAUACAACAAUUCAUUUAUUAUGAAACGGAGGGAGUAAUACUUAUAACAAUGUGCUAGGAAAUAUUAUUAAUUUGAAAUUUUUUCGAACAAUAUAUUUGCAAUCUGCAAAUAAGGCCAAUAAAAUGACGUGGAAUAUUUAUGAUAAAUCAUAGAUCCUACCUUAUGACUGUUCACAGUUGAUCCAAGGAAUCUCCACAGAUUAUAAUCAAGAUUAAUGUAAUAUCAAAAAUAUAAUUUUAGCAUUUUAAUGUAAUAAAAACUAGGUUAGCAAAUAAAUUCCUUUGUUCUCAAUCUAGGUAUACUUUAGAAGAUGCCAAGCGUGCCAUCAUAUUACGAUGGAAAAACCUUCCUUCUGAAUUUCCAUAAUCGUGAAUUUAUAUAUAUGUUAUAAAUAGGAAUUAAAAUAUGGACAAUCCAAUGGAUUAAUGAGCAUUUAGCAUAUCGUAAUGAACUUGACUAUUUCCUAAAACUUAUAUAGAAUUUCAAAUAUUUAUAUUCCACAAUAAAAACUGACCGGUUUUGGUGUACUCGAAUUUGACAUACCUUAUUGGUUGUACAUAUGCAGUACAACAGUAGCAAUAAUAAAAAAAUUAUGAAGUAUUGAAAAAAAAAAAGAUAAUCUGGUGCACUAAAAUUCAACAUGUACAACGGAAGCAACAAUUCUACAGGAUCAAUAUAACUUACACAUAAUCUAGAUAACAUAAAUCAUCAAACGAAAUUGAAAAGCUACUUACUUGUUGGAGCUUUCACACAAUUCGUUCACCGCUUUGACCUCCAGAUCUGCAGUCUUCUACUAUAUCCUGACUAACUUUUGCUAUCAAACUUGUGUGGGCAAGUACUUUUUGAAUUCAAAGAAAAUAUAUGAAGAGAUAAUAAUCUUUUGAACAAAAACUUUAUUUAUUCAAGUUUUCACUUAAAAAGGGAAAAGCCAACAGGCAAAUGUUUUUGUCUUUUUAGUUAUCAAAAACGUUUUCUGCCUCUUUAUUAUUUAAAACGUUUUGUGCCAUUUAAUUGUCCAAAACGUUUUCUUAUUUAAAAUCAGAAGAUAUUUUUUCCUUAUAGGAGACCAGUAAAUAAUAUUACUUCUUCUAGUAAGUCUUUCUUUUUUUCAAAAUUGAUUAAUUAAUCAGGUAUAGCAGGAACCACAGAUUUAUUAAGUGAGGCUUCCAAUUAUGAUAUUAAUUCACAAAUGAAUGAAUUACCAUAUCACAAUAAAUUACAAAUUAUUCCACUAAAAAUCUGUAAUUGCACUCCUCGAUUUAAUUUUGAAAUCUACCAUUACAUCUUAUUUAACUCCCCAUGUUAGAAUUACCGACACCAAUCAAUUAAAUUAAAUUCUUGAAAAAUUUAACUCAUUGAUUAAUUUAAUCCUUUAUUUACAAUGCUUAACUUAUUUCACAUGACGGAUACAAAAUUCACCUGCAGAAUUUUCACGUGGAAACUUUAGUGGAUCGACUCUAUUACAUAAGUUAAUUUCUAAUUCUUAUCUCACAUUAUGAGAUAAGUACGCAGUUAUUAUUGUAUCGGCCCAAAACCUCGCUAAUUGAUCUUUACGGUGCUUCCUCUCUCUCUAUCAAUUAAAGCCUUAUAUCCAUAGAAAAAGUUGCUAGGCAUUUUUAUUUUUUCCUAUUUUGACUUCUAUGAAGUUUCUUUCUUUGCUACAGCUGAUAAAAAUCGUUGUUUUAGACGAUGCAUAUGUAGAAAGCCUAUUUGGUUCUAGUAGUUACUUUACUAGAUUUUUCUUUUUUUUCUUUCUAUAGUGGAGAUAGUCGCACGUAAUGACAGAUCACGGCCAUAUUAUUAAAAGCUUGUGGUAAGAAUGGGUUUCGUUCUAGUGCUCGAAAAUAAUAUUCCAAAGCUUUCGUAUGUUCUCCAUUACUUGUGUGGAUAAGCCCUAUAUUAUAGAGUAUAUAACUUCGAUCAUAGGGAUCAAUUUCUAGUCGCAUAGCUUCAUAAUAAUUCUGCAAAGCUUCCGCGUAAUUUUCUUCGGAUUGAGCCGACAUCCGUUACGGUCGUCAUUCAAUUGAAAGAAUCUCCGUUCCAGAACCGUACGUGAGAAUUUCACCUCAUAUGGCUCCUCCCUUAUGUGCAAAAUAGGAUGUUUUCCAUCUCAAGUCCGAGACAUGGUUCUAUCAACUAAUUAAUAUUUUAUUAAGUGAUUCGUCGCCAUCCAACCUAUUAGGAAUAUGUUGACUCACAAAAGAGUCUCACCUUUUAAUAGAUUAAAACGACAAAAUAAACCAUAUAGAUCAUAAUAAUUAUAUCAAGAUUAAGAGUAUAAGUACAUGUAAUGGACUAGAGAAAUCGUUUAUUAAUAUUCAAAACAUAAACGAACGUCUCUAAUUGGUCCGUUCAAUACAUACGAAAUGUACUAGUACAAGAAGUUGGAAUAUUAUCAUUCCCAUAACCAAGAUCAAAUUAUAUUUAAUCUUGUGCUACAAUCAUCAAGAUGUUUGUCCUACCUCAUCUUUGAUUGUGAACCAAAGGUGUCAAAUGGGCCGGCCCAUUUAGGAAACUAGCCCGGUUUGACCGGGCUCGGUUAGCCCCGAGGCAGUAGGGUACCGAGUUCUGAACUGGGCUAAUUUUAUUAUUGGGCCCGGUUAACCCGGCCCGGAGCAAAACCGGUCCAGGCACACUGGUUAACCUGUCCGGCUCGAAUUAUUAUUAUUUUUUUAAAAUGGAAUUUUUGACCGUUAGACCAAAGUAGUCGUUGGGCCCAACGUUUAUAUGGCCGUUUGGACACAAAAACGGCUAUUUUGGCCUUUUUAAUUAAAAAAAAAGUUUUUCCAUUUAAAAUAUUUUUUUAAAACCAAAAAUAAAUCCUAUAAAUACCCUACACUUUCAAAUUAUUUUUCAUACAAUUUUCAAUCUCUCAAAUCUCAUUCUCUCUCAAAUCUCAAUUCUCAAAUAUUCUAUAUAUUUCCUAAAGUUCUCAAUUUAAUUUUUUAAUUUUGCGAUUACAAAGUACGAGUGAAAGUUUCUAAGGUCGCAACUUUCAGAUACUUUUAAAAUUUGGUAUUGUCGUUCCAUCUCUUACUUUUAAUUUUUAAUUAGUGUAUUAAUUGUUGAAUAUUUAAUUUUAUUAUUUUUGUGUAUUUUAAAUGAUAACACCCUGUAUUUCGGAGCAAAGGUUUGAGCUACUAAACGUAUGUAGGGAAUGCAUGGGGACCACUAAAUUACCUCAGAACAUUUCAGGUAAAGUGUAAAGUGUUUAAUUAAUAUAAUUACUAAUCGGUAAAGCGUAAACAUUCUGCGGUGAAUUAACUACAGUAAAAUGUUUUCUUAAUAUAUCCCUAACUGUUGUACAUUUACCUGUAGAUAUGCAUAUAUGUACUAAGUAAUAUAUGUACUAAGUCAACUAGGUAGUAAGGUAUUUAGAAUUGUUUUUUUCAUAGGAAGUUUGGGAAGUUUGAUACGGGAAAAACAACGGAAACACGAAACAACUCCAAAACAGUCCACUAAUCUUAAGGAUUUGAGGACUAAGAUGUAGACCACUCUCGGAUUCACUACAACAACAACAAUACGAGAUAACAACGGUGCAUUUGACACCAAAAACAGCAGCAACACAAUGAUAACAAGAUGAACACAAUGAGAAUAAAUUUCGGAUACAAGAAGAACACAAAACUGUCCACUAUGAAUCUACAAAGUGCAAUAAGAUAAAGAUAGAUAGAUAGACCAAAUGAGGGAAUAAUAUUAACAACCCAAGAAUUGUUACACCCUUGGACCUUUAAUACUACACACAACACUAACCUAUCUCCUACAUAGGCACAAGAGGGAUCUCGAUCUUCCAAGGACCAACGUUUCCAAGCUUGAAUCCAACACGACUGAUUACACACUCAAGUUGAUUUCCCUAGUUACAAUUUUAGAUUUGUGCCUCAAGGAGAGAGGACUUGUCUUUCAUUGUUAUACGACAUUCAUCAUCAUCAAAAUCUGAUGAAUGAAUCCCUAGAAGGUUGUAUUUAUAGUGUAUUACAAGAAUAGUAUGAAAUGUCCCAAAUGACCCCUUAGUCAAAGUCUUCAAGUGCGCUCCCUUGGAGUGCAUUGCAUGGACCGAUUUGGGAGCCUGGUUAGGCCUUCCUUUGCACUUCACUGUAUACUCUAAGUCUCAGGUUCAUUCACUCUCGCACUCACCCACCUCCAUGGCCGUACCCAUAUCAUCCUUUCCUUCUUGAAAAGGAUUCGACCUCGAAUCCGUACUUUGUAAAAUCAAGAUAAGACAAACAAACACACGUCCUCAUGACAUGAGAGGUUAGGGUUAGCAAAAAUAACAAAUCACAUGCCAUGCCAAGGUGGGACAAACUUGGAGUAUACCCAUAGGUCCUUUGUGUUGAACAUAAAAACCUUGGUAUAAAUAGCACAAAGGAAGAGGUCAUCAUCAACAAAAAGAGACAAGGAAGAACCUUGUCUUCCUUUAUUAGCAUCCACAAUCAAACGUUGCUUGUCGUCUUGACCAAGCAUCAAGUAGGAAGUGUAGAAAUUCCCAUAUUCUCGGAAGGUGUCAGGGUCAAAUAGGAGAAGUAGCCAAGGGUCUAAGCCGAGGUUAGCCCUUUCUUCCCCUAGAAUGUCACUCCCACAACCACGUAUGACAUUUGCCUUUAAGAGAAGACUAACAUUCAAGAAUAGAGAGACACGGCCUAGAAGUCCUACCUCAAAAAGACAUAUGUCAUCAUUUACAACAUUUCUAUACACAUGAUUUCUAUGAACAAAACUACUAGCAAGGCUUUUACCACACAAGAUGUUCAAAGAGUCACGUGUACCAUCAAGAUCAACUCUAUAAACACCAUCACUAACUUGAGAUUUUUUAAGCACGCCACACUUAUACUCAAGUAGUAGAAUACAUUCAUGAGUAAUUUGAUCUUCAUUCACAUCCUCACUAGUUGUUGGCAACUCACAUACCAACGUAGAAUCACCUUAGUUCGCACAAGGGUCAACUAGUGUGUGAGUACUCUUGUCAAUUGGUAAUAGAACCUUGUUCAAGUUAUAAGGGCUAGCACUAGAUAGACAUAAAUCAAUCUUACAAAACCAAUCAAUUUCAUUAUCUAAAGGAUCAACUAGUGCUUGCGUACUUACAACAAGAGUUUAGUCCUCACGCAACCUAACAUCACCAAGAGUAUCACCAUAGGGAGACUCAAAUACCUCUACUCUAGGUAAAUUCGUAACUACAUCCAAUUGGCCACUACUAGCCACAACACAACAUUCUAAGUUCAUAGGAGUGUAAGGAAUAGUAUUUUUUACCUCGUAGCUCACAUGAGCUACGACCUUCCUCUUGACGUGUGUCCAGGCAGCCCACUUGCUCCCUUUGACCUAUCAUACGAUCCAACCUUUCAUUUGCCAUAACUAGGCAUCGGGACAUAGUGUCAAGGUAGGCUAAAAUGACAUAGGUGGCAUUGUUAUCCAUGGGUUGAGAGGUGGAAGCCACGAAUUUCCUUGUAAUUGUACCUAAAAAAAUAAAGAAAAGAACACCUACAAAAUAAAACACAAGUUAGUUCGAAACAACCUCACCACACUCUCGCACAAUUGAUCGUGUCACACUUGGUUUCACAAGUGUUGAAAGCCGUUUUGUACUUUGCGAGUGAUUGAGGGUCGAGUCUACUCUUGGCCGGAAUAGAUUUUUGUUUGAGUUGACUCAAGCAAAAUUUGUUACGGACUUGAACCAACAAGAUACAACGAUUUCACAAAAGAGAAAAGCACACAACAAAUGCGUAACACGAAUGAACGAACACAAAAAACUAACUAACAAUCUAGUAGAUAAGUACUAGUUUGCCAAUUAGUAUUGGAACCAACGAAAUUGAAACUAAGAAACAACAAAUAGAAACUAAGAAAUCUAAAAUUUGAACUUAAAUAUGUUGCAUGAACAGUAAAACAUGAUGAUGUGGGAGCCACAUACUGGUCUCGGUUGCACACAACUUUUGUUGUCCAAUUUCAAGUCUUGGUCAAUUUUUUAAUUUGAACUUUAGUGGAACUUGUUCAAUGGAGGGAAACACAAAGUAGUCUUUAGAGCUUUUUUUUCAAUUAAAAUUUCAAGACUCAGUCUUGGACUAGACUUGUUCUCCUCCUUAAAACAUGGAUCCUUGUUUUAUGGGAAAGUGGUUGAGAUGUGAUUGACUUGUUGGUGAGUGAUGGUAAGUCUUUCAAGACUAACAAAGUUCUCACACUUUUUCCUUCACCUUUUUGGAUCUAACUUUCACUUUAUUUUAACAAGGUAUGAAGGUUUGGAAGAACACUUCAACAAUCACCAAGAAAAUCAACAACAAUCUCCUAAGAACAAUAACAAGGUCAACUACAAACUUCCAACAAACGGCUAAGUCCUUUAGUGUGGUGUUUUGGUAUUAACAAGGGGUGAAGAUUGUGAUGAACAUUAAGAAUACAACAACUUUUUAAGAAUAGUAACAACACCAACAAUGUCCAGCCCAAGUCCACAAGAAAGGUCACCACACGACCAAGAACAACAACAUCAAUACACGACCAUUAACUUGUCACAACAACAAUCUCAACAAUUCAAGCUCAACUCAAGAUAUAGACUCAAUGUGUUAGUGAUGAAAAAAACUAACACUUAGAGACAACAAAGACAAGUAAAAAUCUCGGCCAAGACACAACAAAAACAUAAUUUUCGGCCAAGAACACAAAAUAGACAGAGUGCUCUCUUUCAUGGAUUUUUCAGUUUUCAACUAUUUUUUUGUAGUUUUCAAGUCUCAAGCCCAAGAUUGAUCUUGUUAGAACAAAAUCAACGAUGGCUUUGAUACCAAAUGAUACGGAAAAAACAACGGAAACAUGAAACAACUCAAAAACAGUCCACUAAUCUUAAGGAUUUAAGGACUAAGAUGUAGACCACUCUUGGAUUCACUACAACAACAACAAUACAGAUAACAAUGGUGCAUUUGACACCAAAAACAGCAGCAACACGAGUGAUUCCAUACUCAAGUUGAUUUCCCUAGUUACAAUUUCAGAUUUGUGCCUCAAGGAGAGAGGACUUGUCUUUUAAUGUUAUACGACAUUCAUCAUCAUCAAAAUCUGAUGAAUGAAUCCCUAGAAGGUUGUAUUUAUAGUGUAUUACAAGAAUAGUGUGAAAUGUCCAAAAUGACCCCUUAGUCAAAGUCUUCGAGUGGGAUCCCUUGGAGUGCAUUGUAUGGACUGAUUUUGGAGCCUAGUUGGUCACUUGAAUACUACUCCCUCCAUUUCAUAAUAAAUGAAUUGUUGAAUUUUGGCACACAUAUUAAGAAAAAAGCAUUAAUGACAUAAAUUUAACCCAACUUUCUAUUUUUACCCCAAAAAAAAGAAAAAGUUGACUUUGUAAUACCUUUUCAAAAGUUAAUUGGUUGUCAAAUCAUAAGGGCAAAUUUGAAAAAAAAAUUCAAUGAUUCUUUUAUUUUGAAACACCAAUAAAUACCCCAACAAUUCACUUAUUCCGAAAUGGAGGGAGUACUAAAAUAAAUCAUAUUAGUUGAAAAGUUUCCACCGCCUCAAAACCCUUAGUCAGCAACUUUAUCCACUUCAUUAUGUUAAUCCCUUGGAUGAAAAAUAAUUCUUAAGUCCAACUCCUAGGUAGCUGCCAAGGAUUUAAGUUUAUUUAACCCACCGCUUAAUGGAUUUGGCCCUAACACAAUGCAAAUAAAUCAUUUCAUACUCUCUAUAUACGUUAAGAAUCUUCUUAUAUUAAAUUCAUCCCAUAUCUAGGGAAUUUUUACUUUCUAAGUGACUUACUCAUCCAAGUACUUUUGAGCUCAGGAAGAAAUUAGGAUUCCUUGGGGAUUGUUCGAAACUCAUGGGGUUACUCUUAUUAGGGAAGAUCCAAGAAGACGGUCACCAGAAGGGCAUCGACGAUGUUACAUAUGAGAAAAAAUAAAAAAUUAAGGUAUGUAGAGCUAAAACCUUCUUCUCUAUAAAGGCACAAUGCUAGCUUACCCGUUUCUCCUAGAAGAGUUAACACAUGUUAUUUGUCAUGUAAGUAGAGCCUUUCUUAGUAAACGUCAAAUUUGGGCCUAUAUGUCUUCCCUAACCAAUUAUCUACACUCGUUCCUCACUCAAAACUACUCGUUCUCAUAGUUCACAUGUCUACUCGUUGAGGUCAUAGUAUUUAUAUUACCCUUUCUCAUCGGGUAUCUAUAAUGUUUUAUGUAAAAAAGACAUAUUACAUAGUUAUAGUAUAAAACAAAAGAGCUAACACUUGAAUUGGUGGAUAUUAUGGUCAAAGAAAUUAGUUGCUAAAAGGAUACUGCUACUUGAGUGCCUAAACAAUAUUUACUGUAAUAUAAUUGCAUAGGCCUAUAAGACACUAUUUGAUGAAGUUAAUGAUGGGAGGGUACAUAGGUUUGGCUUGGCAUAUCGCUCGACGUGAUUCUGCGUACAAGAUCGAGACCAGACCAUUAUAGUGAGCCCAAACAUUGUAGGGUACCCGCCCUUGGGGCAUCAUUUGUAUUUGGAGUCAGCUGGAAUGCCAUGUCUUGAUUUCCCCUGACUCGAGCCAACAUAUGGAAUAUAUGGCCUGCGGGCAGACCCUCAUAGUGAGCUCCUAGACGGGGUGUACCUGGAUACAGGCUGCGAUUACAGUUAUACAUAUGGGAUCAUAAAAAUGAGUAUGUGAGCAACAUAUGUUUUAUGCUUGCCUUAGAUUGCCUUCGGUAGGCCAUCAUGUGGUCAUUUGUAAUAGAGGUAGUUAUAAGACAUCACCUAGGAAAAUUACUAGGCAUUUCAUAAGAAUUACUAACUCGUAAGACAUUAUACGAUAGGUUAAUAAGACAAAUGCAUAGGUUUUAGUUCAUAUGAUGUACCUAUCAUUUGUAUGCUCAUAAGUUGUAGUUUAAGACUAGUGUUUCUAGUACUCAGUUGUCUAUACUUGCUCAUGUUGUUUUGAUUUAUUGAGCAUCCUUGUAUGUCUACUUGUUAUUCUGUCUGCUUUAUAUACUAGUACAUGUUGUAUAUGUACUAACAUCCCUAAAUCUGGGGGCACUAUAUUUUACAAAGCAGGGUCGAGUAUACAAGUUGGCCGACCUUCAUAUUAGGUAGUUGCAAUGUAUUCAGCGAAGCAGUCAGUAAGCUCCAUUCUUAUCAAGAGAUGAGAUCUCAUAGUACUCUUGGUCGUACUUCUGAUUAUAGUUUGGGUAUGUUGGGGACCUAUGUAACGCCCUGAAGUUUUUCUUAGCUAAAUUUUGUCCCUAAAAUAUCAAGCAUUGGCUUCUAGAAUGAUUUAUACCUUUUCUCGGUGGAAUCCCUAGAUUUUAACUUUUCAUGUCGUAGAUGAUUGAAUAAAUUUUCCGUCGACAUAAGAUGCAUCCAAAACAGACACUUGGUGAAGGAGUUAUGGUUAAUUUAAGUUCUAGUCGUAAAACACCGUCAUUCCUGUCCUUGGCGCAUCGUGAGGAGGGUGUAAAUGAUGAUGGUCAAUUUUUAGUGGGACUCCGUAAUGAUGGCGCAUCGCUGAGUGGGCCAAAUUCCCAUUCGUCAAUUUCCAAUGACCCACCGCGAUAGUGGCACGUCGCGGUGGCCCAUGAAAUCAGACUUCCAGUUAUAUUUUAAUAGCGCUCUCAUUAAGGGUAAAAUGAGUGUUCAGGAGUAUACUUUAAAGUUUAGUCAGCUGGCCCGUUAUGCUCCUGAGAUGACGAGUAGUAUGAGGGCCUGAAUGAGGAAGUUUGCUUCCGGUCUUUCAGAUAAUCUGGUGCUUGAGUGUCAGGGAGCUAUGCUGAAUAGGGAUAUGGACUUUGCUAGACUGUCAGUCCACAUACAGCAAGUUGAGGAGAAGAAGAAGAAGAAAGCCAAAUCUAAGAAAAAGGACAUGCAAGCAAAGAGAGCCAGAGCGACAAACCAGAGUCAUGAUCUGCAGCAGAGCGAUAAUUGGGGCAGAAAAUGGCAAAAGAAAAAGAAUUGGGGUAAUGCACAGUCGGCAGCUAGUGCUCCAGUGUCCAGACCCACAGCUGAGCAGCGCACCCAGAAUUUUUAGUCUAGUCAGGGGUCGAGGAUGCAAUGUACGCAAUCGCAGAGAAGUGAAGCCCAGACCUCUCGGUCCUAUCUGCGCUGUGGAAGAUGCAGGAAGAAUCAUCCAGAGAGAUGUCACUUUGGCGCUUUGGUGUGUUAUUCAUGUGGCCAGCUAGGUCAUAUCUAGAGAGACUGUCCGGCAGCAAAAAAAAAUGUUGGAGGAGCCAAGUCGCAGGCGAAUUCAUAUACACCACCACCUCAGAAAGAUGCCACUUCAGCCGCCAAAAAUGGUCAGAACCGGUUGUAUGCUUUGACCAACCUCCAGGAGGCAGAGGCCUCAUCAUAUGUAGUCACCGGUACGUUGUAAAUCUUUUCUCGUGAUGUGUAUGUAUUACUUGAUCUCGGGUCUACCUUGUAUUAUUUGACCCCAUACGUAGCUGUUGGUUUUGGGUUUGAGCCCGAUGUGAUUGCUGAACCUUUUUUGGUUUCCACCCGAGUAGGAGAUUCUGUUGUGGCUAGGAGGGUGUAUAAAAAACUUGUUGUGUCUAUUUUCAGCCGGGAUACUGAAGCAGAUCUUAUAGAACUUGAUAUGGUUGAUUUUGAUGCCAUCUUAGGGAUGGACUAGCUCUAUUCGUGCUAUGCAACCUUGAAUUGUAGGACCCGAAGAGUCAUAUUUUAUUUUUCGAAUGAGUCUGUGAUAGAAUGGGAGGGACAUUCUUUAGCACCUAGAGGGCACUUCAUAUCUUAUCUCAGGGCCCAUAAAUGCAUUUCCAAAGGUUGCUUGUAUUAUCUUAUUCCGGUUAAAGACUCUAGUGCUGAAAGUCUCCCUCUUCAAUCUGUUCUCAUAGUAAAUAAAUUCCCAAAAGUCUUUCCAGAUAAUCUCCCAGGAAUACCACCUAAUAGGGAGAUAUAUUUUGGUAUUGAUUUAUUGCCAGAUACCCAUCCUAUUUCUAUUCCUCCAUAUAGGAUGGCUCCUGCAGAGCUAAAAAAGUUGAAAGAACAGCUAGCAGAUCUUCUAAAUGAAGACUUUAUCCACCCUAGUAUGUCUCCCUGGGGUGCACCUGUACUUUUCGUUUGAAAGAAAGAUGGUUCCCUGCGUAUAUGCAUAGAUUACCGCUAGGUACAAAAGAUCACUAUAAAAAAUAAGUAUCCGCUUCCUAGGAUUGAUGAUCUAUUUGACCAACUACAGGGUGCUAAUUGUUUUUCUAAAAUAGACCUUCAUUCAGGAUAUCAUCAAUUGAAAGUUAGGGAGUCAGACAUUCCCAAGACAGUUUUCCGAAUCAGAUAUGUUCAUUAUGAAUUCCUAGUCAUGUUCUUCGGGUUGACUAACACCCCUGCAUCCUUCAUGGACCUAAUGAAUAGGGUCUUUCGAUAGUUUCUAGACUUGUUUGUCAUAGUUUUCGUUGAUGAUAUCUUGAUUUUUUCCAAAAGUAAGGAGGACCAUGCCAAUAACCUUCGAAUUAUCCUUCAUACCCUUAAAGAACAUAAGUUGUAUGCAAAAUUUUCCAAGUGUGAAUUCUGGUUGAAUGCUAUUGCGUUCUUGGGGCAUAUUGUGUCUAGUAAGAAGAUUAAGGUUGAUCCCCAAAAGAUUGAGGCAGUGAGAAAAUGGCCCAAACCCAUGACUUUAACCAACAUUUGAAGCUUCUUGGGUUUGGCGAGGUAUUACAGAAGAUUCGUCGAGAGUUUUUCUUCCAUAGCUGCACCACUUACUAAGUUGACUCAGAAAAAGGUGAAGUUUUUGUGGUCUGACUCUUGUGAGAAUAGUUUUGAGAAGUUGAAAGACAAGUGGACUACUACUCCUGUUUUGACUCUUCCGAAAGAUACAAAAGGUUUUGUUAUAUAUUGUGAUGCGUUCCGAGUGGGACUUGGGUGUGUUCUUAUGUAGCACGGUAAGGUAAUGGCUUAUGCAUUCAGGCAGUUAAAGGUGCAUGAGCGAAACUACCCUACUCAUGAUUUGUAGUUAGCGGUUGUGGUUUUUGCACUUAAGAUCUGGCGGCACUAUUUGUAUGGGGUACACGUUGAUAUAUUUACUGACCACAAGAGUUUACAGUAUGUUUUCUCACAGAAAAAAUUGAAUCUCAAACAGAGGCGAUGGUUGGAACUUUUAAAAGACUAUGACAUGAGCCUACACUAUCAUCCGGGCAAGGCGAAUGUGGUAGUCGACGCCCUCAACAGGUUAUCUAUGGGCAGUCUUUCUCAUAUGGGGAAAGAAAAAAAGAAGAUGGUAAAGGAUAUUCACUGACUCACAAAUCUAGGAGUGCGACUUUUGGAUUCUGAGGAUGGAGAAGUGGUUGUUCAUGAGAUACCUAAAUCUUCCCUUUGUCCAGAAGUUAAAGAGAAACAGGUUGAAGAUCUCAUCUUGAUGCAGAUUAAGAAAGAUGUGGGUCAACAAACGGUAAUGUCAUUUGAAAUUGGUGGUGAUGGUAUUUUGAGAUACCAGGGUAGGUUGUGUGUCCCAGAUGCAGAUGGUCUGAGAAAGAGAAUCCUUGACGAAGCUCACACGUCGAGGUAUGUUGUUCUCCCUGGCAUUACUAAGAUGUAUCAUGAUUCCAAAACCAUUUAUUAGUGGAAUAAUAUGAAGCGUGAUGUGGCUAAUUAUGUUGCUAAGUGUUUGAAUUGUCAACAAGUUAAACUAGAAUAUUUGAGGCCAGGUGGUUUUUCUUAAGAUAUAGCUUUGCCUUUGUGGAAGUGGGAGAUGAUUAAUAUGAGCUUUAUUACAUGACUUUAGAGGUCCCCAAACUAGUAUGAUUCCAUUUAGGUGAUUGUAUAUAGGUUGACCAAGUCAGCUCAAUUUCUACCUGUCAGGAUAAAUUAUUCAGGAGAGGAUUAUACCAAGAUGUUCAUUGCAGAAAUAGUUCAUUUGCAUGGGGCACCUGUGUCCAUCAUAUCUGACAGAGGUACACAGUUUUGGACAUCGUUUCAAAAGGGUUUAGGUACCCAAGUGAAUUUGAGCACGGCUUUCCACCCUCAGACAGAUGGAAAAGCUGAGCGCACCAUCCAGACCCUUGAGGAUAUGUUGAGGGCCUGCGUGAUUGAUUUUAAAGGUAGUUGGGUAGAGCAAUUACCAUUGAUAGAGUUUGCAUAUAAUAAUAGUUUCCAUUCCAGUAUUAAGAUGGCACCUUUUGAGGCAUUGUAUGGGAGAAGAUGUAGGUCCCCGAUAGGAUGGUAUGAAGUAGUUGAGAAGCAGAUAUUUGCGCCUGAUCUUGUUCAUCAGGAAAUAGAGGAUGUGAAAGUCAUUAGAGAAUGACUUAAGACAGCUCAGAGUCAUCAGAAGUCCUACGCCAAUGUUAGAAGAAGAGAUCUAGAGUUUGAGGUUGGAGAUUGGGUGUUUCUCAAGGUUUCUCCCAUGAAGGUAGUCAUGCGAUUUGGGAAGAAAGGUAAGAUGAGUCCUCACUAUAUAGAACCAUAUCAGAUUGUAAGAAGGAAAGGUGGAGUUACGAUGAGUUAGGAUUGCCAGCUAGUUUGGGUUCGGUUCAUCCGGUAUUUCAUAUAUCUAUGUUGAAGAAGUGUAUUGGAAACCAUUCUUUAGUAUUGCCUGUCGCAGAAAUCAAAGUGACAGACUACUUAUCCUAUGAAGAAGAGCCUGUAGAUAUUUUGGAUUGCCAAGUUAGAAGAUUAAGGAACAAAGAGAUAGCCUCAUUUAAAGUGUUGUGGAGAAACCAGAAAAUUGAAGAAGUGACUUGGGAAUCAGAAGUUGACAUGAGAGCUAUAUACCCAAACCUUUUUGAUCCAAUGUAUGACAAAAUAGAAGGUACAAUCCUUGACUUAAUCUUUCUAUGCCUUAGUAUGCUUGAAAUUACACUUGUAUGUAUCCCACGUCAACAUUCGGGGAUGAAUGUUCCCAAGGGGGGGAUAUUGUAACGCCCCGAAGUUUUUCUUAGCUAAAUUUUGUCCCUAAAAUAUCAAGCAUUGGCUUCUAUAAUGAUUUAUACUUUUUUCCUGGUGGAAUCUCUUAGAUUUAAACUUUUUAUUUUGUAGAUGAUUGAAUAAGUUUUCUGUCGACAUAAGAUGCGUCCAAAACGGACACUCGGUGAAGGAGUUAUGGUGAAUUUAAGUCCUAGUCGUAAAACACCGUCAUUCCUAUCCUUGACGCAUCACGGAGAGGGUGUGAAUGAUGAUGGUCAAUUUCUAGUGGGACUCCGCGAUAGUGGCGCAUCGCGGAGUGGGCCAAAUUCCCAUUCGUCAAUUUCCAGUGAGCCACCGCGAUAGUGACACGUCGCGGUGGCCCAUGAAAUUGGGAUCUCAGUUAUAUUUUAAUACCGGUCUUAUUAAGAGUAUAUUGGGUAUUUUCCCACACCCUUAUCAGUCCAAACACGAGAUUUCAACCCCAGAUUGAGCAUACUACUCAUACAUUCACCAAAAAUAUUCAAGAACACUCUCUAGGGUUCCAUAUUGAUAAUCCAAAUAAAUCAAGAUUCAACUGUGGGUUUUCAAAACAAAUUGAAGAUUUGGAAUCCCCAAGCCAUGGGCAUCAAGAAGCAUCCUUUAAAUUUCUAGAUAGAGGUACAUGGGGUUUACCCUAAAAAAAACUACAUGGGCUUAAAAUCAUUAGAGCAUGAUUUUAAGAUUUUUAUGCAUGAAUUUCAAAGGGGUUUUGGAAUCUAUGAUCUAAAUUACGUACUUCGAAUGUUUUAAUGUUACUAUUAUUUUGACCUUGUGGUCUUAUCUCUUCAAUUGAUUUACAUGUAUACGUAUAUAUAUGGAAUUUGAGAUUUAAGAUCGUUGAGAGCAUAAAUUAUGAACUCCCUCUCAUGUAUUGAAUUAAAGAUUAUGAUUUUGUGAUUUGAAAGAUGUUUUCGCAAUAUUAUAGCAUUUGAGCAUGAUUUGAAAUUGUUGAGAGGGUGUUUCUUGAUAUAAAUGUGUUCUUGUGUGAGAUAAUACAUUGAAACACUCUAAACUUGUAGCCAAAACUUACUUUAAACCCUAAACUAUUCGGGCAAUUAUUUAUCCCCCUUAACAACUUUCAAGUGAAUUUUUUUCCACCCUAAAAAAAUUAUACCACUCUCAAUACAGAGAGAAAAGUGCACGCGCCCCACGUAAUUGCCAAAUUAGUGCCAUGUCAUUGCCACAUAAGAAAUUGUAAUUUUUAAAAAAAUCCAAUAAAUAUAUUAUUUUUAUAUUUUUUUUUAAAAAGCAAAAAAUAUAUUUGUACUUUAUAUAUAUGUAUAUAUAUAUAAAGAACCCCCCCUACUAAUUCUUCUCCAACCCCCCCCCCCCCCCUUCUCCUCCUUCUUUAAUUUUUUUUUUACCAUUAACACCAAUAACUUGAUUCGAAUUUAACAAUAAAUUGAUAAAUAACUUGUUCAUGUAGAUUAAGCCAUGGCUCCUCUAUCAACAUUUAGAAAUCAACAAUUGCAAGUAGAACAAAAUCUAAAAUCAUCCACAACAAUUCCAAAUCUACCAAACGAUUUAGCAGCAAUAAUAGGGGGGAGAAAGAAGAUAAAGAUUGGGGGGUGUGGGGGGGGGGAGUGGGGGUGGGGGAAGGGAAUGGUUAUGAAGAAGAUGAUGAUGGAAGUGAAUUUUUGAUUAUUUUAAUCUAAUAUAUAUAUAUUAAUAAAACUUGUAAAAUUAAAAGGUGGGACCCAUCAUUUUCCAUGUUUUUAAAGCAAAUUACGUGCUGAUUUUUAAAAAAAUUGUCACGUCAGUAAUUAGGGUGGAAAAAAAUUCACUUGGAAGUUGUUAAGCGGGGUAAAUAAUUUCCCGAUUAGUUUAGGGUCUAAAGUAAGUUUUUGCUACAAGUUUAGGGGUGUUUCAAUGUAUUAUCUCAUCUUGUGUUUAAGAGAAAGAAUUACAUGUGAAUUGAGAACUUUGACAUGACCACCUUGUACUGUACUACUGAAAUGCUUGACAAAGAUGAGUUCCUUGCAUGUGUUUACAUGAGGUUUGAGAAAGAGUUUCUUUGAAUUGAAUUAUUGAAAUGGUGGUCCCAAAACUUGUCUUUCAAAAACAGAGAUCUACAAUAGACUAAUAAUGGCUCAGAAAUAUGACUUGCAAGUCAAUGGUAUAACGAUAACAUAUGUAUUUAUGCCAUAACAGAUUAUGUUUUUAGAGCAUCUUUUCAAAGUAUGUUUUCAGAGACUGUAUAUUUUGAUAGAGUUUUAAAAAAAGAAUUAAAGAGGGUUAGGUGGUUACCCGAAGAAGGCGCGAGUUCAAGCAACUCUUAGCCUAAAACCGUAUUUGCAAAUGCCCAUGUAAAUUCUUACUAUAUGAUGUACUUAUGAACUAUUUUAAGUUCUCUCAUAUAUAUUGAAUAAUAAAUGAUUAUUUGGAUAUGCUCUGCGUACCAGUACAUCUGUAUUGACCCCCCUCCCCCUACCUCUCAGGUUCUGAGACUCAGUCUAGGAGUCCAGAUAAGUAGUAGAUAAUUCAGAAAGCUGAUUAGAUUGUGCAGUGGUGAGCCUUCUUUAUUCCAGAAGGCCUGUCUUUUCAGAUUAUGUCACUUAUUUUAGUUUUUGGUCUACUGGGGGCCUUGUCCCAGUUUCAGACAGCUGUCAGAUUUUCAUGUAGUAGAGAUUUCGCAGGCUGAGUCAGAUGUUAUUUAGAUGUAGUUGAUUUACAGUUUCCAUACUUGUGUUGAAUUCAGAAUUGACCAUGUUUCCAUAGCAGAUUAUGUUUCCGCAUCUUCUUUUAUUAUAUGAAUGUUGUGCAUGAUUACCAGAUAGAAAAGGGCAUUUCGGGCCUUCAUGGUUCGGGAUGUUCGUCAUGGACAGGCCCUCGUUCGGGUCGUGACAACCUAUCUCGACCAUAUAGCAUUGUACCGUUAUAGAUUCUAUUAGAGGCUUAGUAGGAAAUCUAAAAUUAUCAUAUGCAACUAUAGUUUCAAUUGUUGACUGUGGUAGUGUGAAUAGUUGGAUAGUUUGACUUAUAUAUAGUUCCUCAUUACGAUUGCAUGUACAGUGACUCAUCCGCUUAGAACAAGUCAUUUGUAUAAUGUGUUCUUAUACGGAUCCUUCUCCACCUCGAUUAGUUUAAGGGCGUGACAUAAUUUUUUUUUAGUUUGAUUUAGAAUUUUAUAUUAUGGAUAAAUUAAGAAACCUUGCUAGUAAAGUGUCAAAAAAAUUAUUCCGAAAGUGGUAGUGGUAGUAAAAAAGCGAAUUACUAGCGGUAGAGGUAGUUCAAGUAGUAGAUAUACCCAUGUGUCUCCGGUACCGCUAAGUCAACCUUUUGAUGAAGAAGUAGGUGUAUGUGCUCACGAUAUGAAUUAUGAAGAAGCUUAGGAAAAUUACGGUAUAGAAGAAGAAAAUAAAGUAGAUGUGGUUAAUUUAGAUCUGAAUCGGUUAUCGCCCUCCCCGUCCUCUCCGUACCCCAAGAGUUCAUAAAACAACUAGUAUUGCAUGGCAAUUUUUUACACAUAUAGAAGGAGAGACUAAGGUGCAAUGCACUAUUUGUCAACAAGUAUAUGAGCAUAAAAGAGAAGGCAAUCAAGGGAGUACAGGUACGCCAAUGAGACAUAUAAAUGAUAAUUACGAAAGAGAGUUAUUUAUUACACGAGAUAAUGACGCUGUUAGUGGGACAACACAAACUAGAAUGGAUCCAACAACCGACCAGGUAAUUAAGAAUUAUAAUAUAUAUAGGGAUUGGGAAGAAAUAGCAAAAAUGGUAGUUGUGGGUUGUUUGUCUUUCAGUUUUCCUUCUUCGGAUACUUUUAUUCAUUAUAUUCAAGCAAUUUAUAAUCUUAUGUUUAUGGUAUUCCUAGAAGUACUUUUCGGGUUGAUAUUUUUAGACUUCAUUCGCAAUAUAUUUUUUUAUUUAUCUACGUUGUUAAAAAAUACUCAAUGUAGAAUGACUCUAACUUCUGAUCUUGGUCGUGCUAUCAAUAAAAAUAAUUAUUUAACCAUUACUGGAUAGAUAGUAAUUAUGUUGUGCAAAAAUGUAUUCUUGCUUUUUUGUAUGAUGUACAUCGUAGACAUACUAGAGAAUUUAUUGCUGAUUCGGUUAGUAAAGUUGCAGAAUUUUAUGGUAUUGAAAAAAAAGUCUUAUGUAUUGCUUUUGAUAAUACUUCUACAACAAGACUGCUAUUACAAAGUUAAAAGCUAAGCUCUCUCCGUCGUUACCUGAAAUAUUUUAUGUUAAGUGUGUUUGUUAUAUAUAUAAGUUAAUUAUAAGAGAUGGUCUUGAAUUUUUUAAGCUUUAUAUUAAAAAAAUUUGGCUUGUUGUUGGCUUUAUUCAAGGAAAUAAUCGAAGAAAAAGAAUUAGAGAAUUUAAAGUUAAAUGUCAAGAAAAUGGACUUAGACCGUUAUUGAUGCCUGAAGAAUGUGCUACUAGAUGGAAUGCUACGUAUGAUUAUUUAAAAACUUGUCAUGCUCAUAGAGUUCCUAUUACACUAACUUUUAACCAACAUUGUGGUUCAUUUGUUGAUUCAAUUGAAUGUAUGCUACAUGAUUCUGAUUGAGUUGUAAUUGAUAAUCUUGUUAAGUUUUUGGAAAAAAUUUAUAUAGCUACAGUUGAAUUUUUCGGUGUUUAUUAUCCUACUUUUUGUAAUAAUUUAGCAGAUAUAGACGAUAUUUGCUCAAAAAAUAUAAGAAUAAAGAAGGUUACAAAGAAGUUGUUGAUGCUAUGUUUGCAAAAUUUAAAAAAUAUUUUUUUCGGUUCCCCCUAUUUACUUGGUUGGUUUUAUACUAAAUUCAUGUAUGAAAUAUAAUACUAUGUGUCAAUUUAGUACUCUUAUUUAUUCUAACUUAGAGAUAAAUACUAACAAUGAUUCUGAUGAUGAAGAACAAGAACAACUAUAUUUGUAUACAGCUAUGAGUGAUGCGAACAUUUACAUAGAUAAAUUAUAUAACCAUUAUGCUGAUGUACUUGAUUUAGCUGUACGACAAAUAUCACUCCAACUGUCGUUCAUCCUCCUCCUGAGGAGCCAUCAUCUUCUAAAAGGCCGGCACAUAGUGGUUUUCAUGAUUACUUUUAUGAUUUAAAUGUUUGAAACAAUUUUGAGGAGGGAACUUACACAACAACUUCUCAGGAAGAGCUUAACUCAGCACAAUCAAGUCCAAUGCAUGGUUUUGCCCCCAUUGACUUUGACUAUCCUAAGAAAGUUUCCGUUAAUUUUAACAUGGAUGAGUUGAAAAAAAUGAUUAAAACUUUGUAGAUUUUCAUUCAUGUACAUUAUAAAUUUUGAAUCAUUUUGCAAUCAAUAAAAUAUAACAUUCAUUCACUCCUUAAUUUAUAAUUUUUUUAAUUUAAUGAUUUAAAUUGAACUUCUAGUUUAAAUCAAAUACUUAGUUUUAAUAUAUUACUAAUAAUUACUAUUAAGUAUUAUUAAUUUAUUAUAUCAAGUAGCAUAUUUUUUAAAGUAGUACAUAUAUUGAAUGGUACGUAUAUAUGUGUAUAUAUUUUCUAUAGAGUAUAGACUCUAAAGUAGUAUAUAUUUAACGUAUACAUGUGUAUAUGUUUUAUAAAUUAGUAUGUAUAUUGUAGUAUAUAUCUUGUAGUAUAUGUAUAUUUUUUAAAGUAGUACACAUAUUGAAUGGUACGUAUAUAUGUGUAUAUAUUUAUUAUAGAGUAUAGACUCUAAAGUAGUAUAUAUUUAACGUAUACAUGUGUAUAUUUUUUUAUAAAUUAGUAUAUAACUAUAUAUUUUUUUUUGUGCAUAUAUUGUAGUAUAUAUAUUAUAGUAUAUAUUUUAUUUAAAGUUGUACAUAUUUAUUGAAUGGUACGUAUAUAUGUGUAUAUAUUUUCUAUAGAAUCUAAAGUAGUAUAUAUUUAACGUAUACAUGUGUAUAUGUUUUAUAAAUUAGUAUAUAUAUAGUGUUAAUAUGUUGUAUGUAUAUUUUUUAAGUAGUACAUAUAUUAAAUGGUACAUAUAUAAGUGUAUAUAUUUUCUAUAGACUCUAAAGUAGUAUAUAUUUAUCGUAUACAUGUGUAUAUGUUUUAUAAAUUAGUAUAUAUAUAGUGUUUAUGUGUUGUAUGUAUAUUUUUUAAAGUAGUACAUAUAUUAAACGGUACGUAUAUAUGUGUAUAUAUUUUCUAUAGACUCUAAAGUAGUAUAUAUUUAAUGUAUAUAUGUGUAUAUGUUUUAUAAAUUAGUAUAUAACUAUAUNNNNNNNNNNNNNNNNNNNNNNNNNNNNNNNNNNNNNNNNNNNNNNNNNNNNNNNNNNNNNNNNNNNNNNNNNNNNNNNNNNNNNNNNNNNNNNNNNNNNNNNNNNNNNNNNNNNNNNNNNNNNUAUAAUAUAUAUAAUGUAGUAUAUGUUUUAUUUAAAGUAGUACAUAUAUAUUGAAUGGCACGUAUUUAUGUGUAUAUAUUUUCUAUAAACUCUAAAGUAGUGUAUAUUUAAUGUAUACAUGUGUGUAUGUUUUAUAAAUUAGUAUAUAUAUUGUAGUAUAUAUCUUGUAGUAUAUGUUUUAUUAAAGUAGUAUAUAUAUUUAACUAACGUAUAGUCGUAUACAUGAUUACAUGUGUAUAUGUAUAUAUGUUCUUAAAAUUCUAAUGUAGUAUAUACUAUAUAUAUAGUGUAUAUAUAUUGUUUAACAUAUUUAAAAUGUAUAUAGGUGGGUAUAUAUAGUGUAUAUUGGAGAAAAAAAUUUAAUUUUUUUUGUUUUGACCGAUUUUGACCGAAUUUUGAACCGAUUUUGAUCGGAUUUAGGCGGGUUGGACCGGAUUAGGGCUAAUGGGCCGGUCUCGGUUUUUUUUUUAAAAUCGGACCGGCCUGUUAAGCCAGGCUCAGAUUCGGACCGGCCCACAACACGGUUAAAAGUGAUGAGCCGGUUCUGAGUUGACCCGGCUCGACCCCAUUAACUGGCUUAUUGUGAACGUUAAUUUAUUACUUAUAAGAACCAACAAUUUUAAUCUUCCGUGCAUGAGUUAAAAUACUACAUACACAAAAUUAUCUAUUAUAUAAGCAAAGGACACACAUGUUAACAGAAUGAUCUAUUCAAAUAAAGAUUUUAUUAAUAUAAUAAAUAGUCUUUACAUGGAAUGAAAAUAUAAUACUAUAAUACAAACUACAUGGUUAAUAGUAUAUCCUAACAAUCUCCCACUUAGACUCAUAACCAUGAAUGCACAACUUUAACACCAUUUUCUUCCACAUGUUUAUCAUAAACCUUCUGGGUUAAGCCUUUUGUAAAUGGGUCCGUCAAAUUGUUCUUCGACUCAAUCUUCAAAACUCUCACAUCACCCCUUUGAGUUAUAUCCCAAAUCAAGUGAUAUUUGCUCUCAAUAUGCUUACUUUUUUUAUGACUUCGUGGUUCUUUCGAGUUUGCAACAGCACCACUAUUGUCACAAUAAAGUGGUAGUGGUGUUUGAAUCGAAAGAACAACUCCAAGCUCUUUCAAAAAAUUACCGAGCCAAACAACCACUUUAGCUGCCUCAGAGGCAGCUACAUAUUCGACUUUCAUGGUGGAAUCAGUAACACAUGAUUGCUUGAUACUCCUCUAAACAAUGGCUCCACCUCCUAAAGUAAACACAUAUCCUGAGGUAGAUUUUCUAGAAUCUUUAUCCGACUGAAAAUCUGAAUCAGUAUAUCCAACAAGUACAAGACUCCCAUAGUGAAAAACAAGCAUAUAAUUCCUAAUUCUUUUAAGGUAUUUGAUUAUAUGCUUAACCGCAGUCCAAUAUUCUUGCCCAGGAUUAGACUGAAAUCUACUAACCAUGCCUACCGCAAAACAAAUAUCAGGUCUAGUGCAUAACAUAGCAUACAUAAGACUCCCUACAGUUGAAGCAUAAAGGACUGCCUUCAUUCUCUCUAUCUCAUCGAUCAUUUUGGGUGACAGAUCUUUUGAUAGAGUAAUUCUAUGCCUAAAAGGAAGGAACCCCUUUUUGGAAUUUUGCAUGCUAAUUCUUGCAAGAAUAGUAUCAAUAUAAAAAGUGCUUGAGAUAAGCCUAAUAUCCUUUGUUUGCGAUCUCGCAUAAGCUUGAUUCCAAGGAUAUGAGCCGCUUCUCCCAAGUCUUUCAUAUCAAAACGCGAGGACAGUCACUCCUUAACAGAAUUCAACAUGCUCACAUUAUUUCCUAUGAGCAAAAUGUCAUCUAUGUACUAAAUAAAAAAUGUUACUCUGUCUCUAUCCCAUUUUUUAUAAACGCAUGACUUAUUUUCACAUUGAUCAAAACCAAAAGUCUUAAUCUAAUUAUCAAAACAAGUAUUCCAUGCUCUAGAUGCUUGUUUCAAAUCAUAAACAAAUUUCUUAAGUUUUACAAAACUUAUGUUCAUUACCACUUUUCAUGAAAUCUUCUGGUUGUGUCAUAUAAAUGCACUCGUCAAGACUUUCAUUUAGAAAAGUCGUCUUGACAUCCAUUUUUCAAAUCUCAUAAUCAUAAUGAUCAACAAUGGAUAAGAGAAUCCUAAUGGAUUUAAGCAUAGCUACCGACGAAAACGUUUUCUCAUAAUCAAUUCCUCCUUUUUGAGUAAACCCUCUCGCAAUAAGCCUAGCCUUAAAAGUUUACACUUUUUCAUCCACACCUCUCUUUUCUUAUAGAUCCAUCUACAUCCAAUGGGUUUGACUCCUGUAGGUGCUUCUAUAAGUUCCCAGACUUGAUUGGAAUACAUAGAUUCCAUUUCAGAUUUCAUAGUAGCAAUUCACAUUUUAGCAUCUUUGUCAUGUAGUGCUUCGGCGUAAUUAAGAGGUUCUGUAUUAGGCCCCUUAGGAAUUCUAUCAUACGAUUCUCCCAAGCAUAAAUCGUAAAGAUUUUCUAAUAAUUCUCCCACUACGAGGACUAGUCACUACGGAUCUGCUAUGUUUGAAACUAAAUUUUGAACACUCCCAAUGUCUUCCUGUACUAUAACAAAUUCCUCGACAUUAUCCUGAAUGUUUUUCUCCACAAUUACAGGCUACUCGACGUUACUCCCACUACUUUGAGGUAGUGUAAUGUCAAGUGUUUGCUCUUGUGCAACCUCUUGCCUAUUGAUAUUUCUCCCACUGCGUGGAUGCAAUGGUAUGUCAAUAAUGGUUUUUGGAAUUUAUUCUUGUGUUUCAUUAUUUCUUAUUCUAUUGCUCAAUUCCCGUAAAAUAAUUUUACUUCUAGGAACGUGGUUCAUUAAAUAAUCUUCUUCAAGAAAUCUGGCCUUUGUCAAAACAAUUACCUUUAGUUUCUGAGGACAAUAAAAUAAACCCCCUUUCAUUCCUUUUGGAUAUCCAGUAAAAACGCACACUUCUAUCCUAGAUUCCAACUUAUCAGGGAUAGAUUCCAACUUAUCAGGGAUAUUUGGAUUCCAACAUAUCCCAAAUCCGAAUAUGUCGUAGACUAGGAUUGCGCCCACUCCACAAUUUAGAUGGGGUUAAAAGUACUAAUUUUGAAGGAAUCAAGUUCAGAAUACAAUUUAUAGUUUCUAAUGCAUAACCCCAAAAACAAAAAAGGCAAAUAUAAAUAACUUAACAUUGAUCUAACCAUUUGCAAAUGAGUUUUAUUUCGUCGUUCUGUCACACCAUUUUGUUGUGGUGUUCCCGGAGCAGAAUAUUGAGAUAUAAUUUCUAAUUUUGAUAAAUAUUUAAUGAAUUCCGCAAAAAGGUAUUCACCACCACAAUCAGAUCGUAAUAUAUGGAUAUGUUUGUUUUGUCGCUUUUCUGUUUUCAUCUUAAAUUCUUUGAAUCUUUCAAAGCAUUCAUAUUAACGGCACAACAAAUAAAUGUAUCCAUGUUUUGAGUAAUCAUCUGUGAAAGUAACAAAAACUCAAAACCACACUUGUUUGUACAUUCAUAGGACUACACAAAUCAGUAUAAAUUAAUUCUAAAUUAUUACCGGCUCCAUUUUCUUUGGAAGGAAAAUGUCUCUUGGUCAUUUUACCAUCUAAACAGGAUUCACAAGCUGGAAGUGUCUCCACUUCCAAUAAACUCAAAGGUCCAUCAGAAACCAACCGUGAGAUCCUAUUUAAGUUAAUAUGACCUAGACGUAAGUGCCAUAAGUAUGUUUCACUCAAUUUCGAAAUACGUUUCCUUUUAAGUGAUUGAACAACAUUAUUAAGUUUUAUUUUUUUGUAGCAUAUUAUGGGAAACCUCAAAUACAAACAAGUCAUGUAUUCUAGGAGCAGAAAUAAUAAAAUGUUUAUUAAACAUAAUAAUUGCACAAUUAUUAACAAAAUAAACAUUAUAACCAACAUCCAUUAUUCUUGAAACUGAAAGUAAAUUUCUUCUUAUAGAAGGUACGUAAAGAACAUUAUUCAGUCUUAAAACUCUAGAACUACUAAACGAAAUAGAAAUAUUUCCUAUAGCUAAGGCUAGUGCUAGUUCCCCAUUUGCUUGAAACACAUUCAGUUCAUUUUCACUUAGACGUCGUGUUUCCUGAAACCCCUGCAAUGAAGUGCAAAUAUGAUUAGUGGCUCCCGAAUCUAUAGCCCAAAAUCGGGUAGAAACAGCUGCUAAAACUGUUUCAACGACAUAUGAAAAAGAUGUACCUUAUUUUUGUAUCUUUGCUAUGUAGUCGGGACACUGUUUCUUAUAAUGACCAGGUUGCUUGCAAUGAUAGCAUUUGACCUUAGGUUUAGACACACUACCAUUAGCACUUGAAACCUUACGAGGCUUUUUUUUUCUUUUGGCCUUUCAGCUUAGAAAUCGAAGCUGAAGGUUUGUAACCAUUAAUGCCGCAUGAGGAGCUUAUUGCUUAAUAAUAGAUUUUGUCGCUUGCAGCUCAUUCAACAAUUUCACAAGAGAUAAGUCCGUCUUAUUCAUGUUAUAAUUCAAGCAAAACUACAGAAAACUGUCCGACAGAGUCUGCAGGACCAUCUCAACUCUAGAUUCCUUAUCAAUAACCGCACCAAGAAUUUCCAGCUCAUUUAACAAACCAUCAUUUUAAGAACAUAUUCCCUUACCAAAGUUUCUUCAACCAUUUUUGUGGUCAAAAGACCUUUCAUGGCCGUCUGCUUUGCAGCACGAUUUUGCUCACCAAACAUCUCUUUGAGAGAUUCAAGCAUAUCAUAAGCAGUAGUCUUGGACUGAUGUUGAUGCCACAACACAUUUUCCAUAGAGGCAAAAAUGUAGCAUCUUGCCAUCUCGUCAGCCUUGAUCCACUUAUCAUAGACUUUAAUCUCAUCAUCAGUGGGGUCAUCCGACUUAACAGGACAUUCCUCAACCAGCACAAAUUUAAAGCCCUCAGAAAUAAGAACAAUAACUAAUUACGUUUUCAGUCCACAUAGUUAGGACCUUCUAGUUUAUUUUGAUUCAAGAUAGAAGUGAAGGGAUUGAACAAAGACAUGGUUAAUCUGUUAUAUAAUUCAAUUAAAAACAAAUCAUUCGACAUGUUGUAGAAUAAUAAAAUUCUUUAAAAAAAAACAUCACAUAUAUAACCAUGCACAUAAACAGUUAGAAUCGUUAGUGAAACUUAACCAUUUAACCAAAUAUACAUGUAAUGUCAGAUAUUUUAUCUCUUAAAUAAAACAGAACUAACUCAGUUAGAGAGUAAACUGUUGAUUUAAGUUAGAUAAAUAUAACAUUUCAUAAGUCUAUUUACUAUUGAACCAACAUGUAACUUAGUUGGAAAGUUAAUACAAGUUAUAAAAAAUAAGAGACUAUAAAACAAUAUUAAACUAUACAAGUUUAUCUGAU
rnacentral:lncRNA from 1 species